rnacentral:rRNA from 1 species
GCAGUCGAACGGAGAAUUUAUUUCGGUAAAUUCUUAGUGGCGAACGGGUGAGUAACGCGUAGGCAACCUGCCCUUUGGAUGGGGACAACAUUCCGAAAGGAGUGCUAAUACCGAAUGUGAUCCAUUUCUCGCAUGAGAGAUGGAUGAAAGAUGGCCUCCAUUUAUAAGCUAUCGCCAAAGGAUGGGCCUGCGUCUGAUUAGUUAGUUGGUGGGGUAACGGCUCACCAAGACGAUGAUCAGUAGCCGGUCUGAGAGGAUGAACGGCCACAUUGGGACUGAGACACGGCCCAAACUCCUACGGGAGGCAGCAGUGGGGAAUCUUCCGCAAUGGACGAAAGUCUGACGGAGCAACGCCGCGUGAGUGAUGAAGGUUUUCGGACUGUAAAACUCUGUUGUCAGGGACGAAGGUGCGAUCUGCGAAUAGUUGAUCGUAUUGACGGUACCUGACGAGGAAGCCACGGCUAACUACGUGCCAGCAGCCGCGGUAAUACGUAGGUGGCAAGCGUUGUCCGGAAUUAUUGGGCGUAAAGAGCAUGUAGGUGGGCUUUUAAGUCCGAUGUGAAAAUGCGGGGCUCAA